rnacentral:lncRNA from 1 species
AGGCACCCUUCUGCCUCUCUAUUCUGGUUUACCCACCCAUAACCAGAGGUGGCCCGGAGGCGCGGGGAGCGGCAGGCGCUGAAGUGUCAGCUGAGCAUGAAGGUGUUCGGGCAUGAGUUGAGCUUUGUCAACUGUGGGGCGAUGGGGAGCCACGUGACGCACCAGUCCCUGAACCUGGCUGAGCUUGCCAUAAAACUCCUGAAGGGCCAGGAGGUUCAGGUGAACCGGAGGCUGAACCUGGUGAUGGAGGAGCUCACCUUUCCCACCAUGUCCGGCCUCCCAGCCCGGUUGACCCUCAAUGUCUCAGCUGCCGUCAGCAUCCGGGUCCGAGGGACAGCCGACUUCCAGCAGCGCUCAGAUUUCUCUGUGAAAGGUUACGUCAAGCCCAGCGCGCUGCUCCAGAUCUCGGCGCAGAUGGGCACGGUGGGUGCCCUGGGGCAGGCCGGGCUGAGGUGGGUGACUGGUGUCCGCGGC